GGAUGUGAGGGCGAUCUGGCUGCGACAUCUGUCACACCAUUGAUCGCCAGGGUUGAUUCUGCUGACCUGGGUGGCUAGGCGGGUGUCCCCUUCCUCCCUCACCGUUCCAUGUGCGUCCCUCCGGAAGCUGCGCGCUUGGUCAAAGAGGACAGCCUUCCUGGAAUAGCGACAGACCCGGUCUUCUGUCAAGGGUAUACCAGUAGCUGCGCUCCCCCACUACAACCUCCAAACAAGCUCUCAAGAAAUAUGAACAUAAAGUAAAAAUAUCACAGAAGGUAAAAAUGCUGAUUAAAUUUCAAGAUAUAUUACAUGUCUUA
rnacentral:snRNA from 1 species